rnacentral:rRNA from 1 species
GUGCCAGCCGCCGCGGUAAUACGUAGGGAGCGAGCGUUGUCCGAAGUUACUGGGCGUAAAGCGCGCGUAGGCGGGCCAUUAAGUGAGAGGUGAAAUUCCAGGGCUCAACCCCGGAACUGCCUCUCAUACUGUUGGUCUUGAGUGAGGUAGAGAGAAGUGGAAUGGCUGGUGUAGCGGUGAAAUGCGUAGAUAUCAGUCGGAACACCGGUGGCGAAGGCGGCUUCUUGGGCCUUUACUGACGCUGAGGCGCGAAAGCCAGGGGAGCGAACGGGAUUAGAAACCCUCGUAGUCC